rnacentral:rRNA from 1 species
CAGUGGGGAAUAUUGCACAAUGGGCGCAAGCCUGAUGCAGCCAUGCCGCGUGUAUGAAGAAGGCCUUCGGGUUGUAAAGUACUUUCAGCGGGGAGGAAGGCGAUAAGGUUAAUAACCUUGUCGAUUGACGUUACCCGCAGAAGAAGCACCGGCUAACUCCGUG